ensembl:lncRNA
CGCCCGUUGUGCAGCCAUGAUGGACGACGAAGACGCCCUGAGCGAGCGGGGCAUCAACGCCUCCAGGAUGAGAUACGACGACGAAGAAGACUUCCACUCCAUCUACAUCGGGGUCCCUGUCCCUCGCGGAUACCGGAGGAAGCGGCGCCGGAGGCGGUCAGUGUCCAGCCGGGACAAGGUCACAGAGAGCGAGAGGCACUACGAGCGGCAGGACCGGUCCGACACGGACGAGGGCGGGCGCAUGGGCUACGAGAACGGGAACGACAGUGCCAGCCGGACCAGUGAGUGGGGCCGGGGGUGGGGCGGGCCCACAUCGGGCAACACUUGGGACCUUUGCGGUUGUCCAAAGCCUUUCCGGCCUUGUAUGGAUUGCCUUUUAUUCCUCACUUUCCCAGCUGAACGUUAGGAAGCACUUCCUAAUCAAAGAGCUGCCCAACAGUGGAACUCUCUGCCUCAGGCCUCUUCCACACAGCUGCAUAAAAUCCACACUGAACUGGAUUAUAUGACAGUGUGGACUCAGACAGCCUGGUUCAAAGCACAUAUUGUGGAUUACCUGCCUUGAUAUUCUGGAUUGUAUGGAAGGGCUCUCAGAGUCUGGUGGAGGCUCCUCCUUUGGAUGGCUGGAUGGCCAUCUGUCAGGAAGGUUUUGGUUGUGCCUUUCCAGCCUGGCAGAAUAAAGGGGGUUGGACGGCAUGGCCCUCUUUGGGGUCUCUUUCCAACUCCAGGUUUCCAUGACGCAGUAUACAAGGAAGGAAAGAAACAAAAAAAAGCAACAAGCUAGCCAUUGGCAAUAAAUUUGUGAAGAAAUAAGUAAUAAUUAAAAGAAAAACAAAUUAAUAACAAUAAUAAAAAGAUACCCAAAGCAACUAACAAUGCUAAUAAUGAUGCAUUAUUAUUAUUGUUGUUGUUGUUAUUGUUGUUGCAACAUCUACUAAUCCCCAUGGGUGCCAUGGGUUAAGUGAGAAUCUAACUACGUCUUCCUUAUUAUUAUUGUUAUUCCUAUUAUUAUUAUUAUUAUUAUUAUUAUUAUUAUUAUUAUUGUUGUUGUUGUUGAUCAAACAUCUACCAUGGGUUAACUGAGAGGCUAUAGUAUUAUUAUGAUUACUCCAACAUCUACCAAUCUGCAUGAGUACCAUUUGACUGAGAGUUUACAUAAUCAUUAUUAUUGUUGUUAUUCCUAUUAUUAUUUAUUCAAUGUUUACCAAACCUCAUGGGUGCCAUGGGUCAACUGAAAAGCUAUUGUAUUAUUAUUAUUAUUAUUAUUAUUAUUAUUAUUAUUAUUAUGAUACAGCAAACAAGAUAGAUAUGCUGGAUUUCAUAUCACAAAAUCUCAAGUCGAACACUUCCCAAGUGUCUAGGACUGUCUGUGUGAUGUAUUUUCGGAUGAUGCGUGCAGAUCCCAGUAGGGUGGCCUUUUGCAGUUGGCAGAUGGUGAUUUUGUCAAUGUCUAUUGUUUCCAAAUGCCGGCUGAGAUCUUUUGGCACGGCACCCAAUGUGCCGAUCACCCCCGGGACCACCUGCACUGGUUUCUGCCAGAGUCUUUGAAGUUCAAUCUUGAGGUCCUGAGAGCGGCUGAGUUUUUCCUGUUGUUUUUCGUCAAUGCGACUGUCACCUGGGAUGGCAACAUCAAUGAUCCAAACCUUUUUCUUUUCCACAACUGUGAUGUCUGGUGUGUUGUGUUCCAGAACUUUGUCAGUCUGGAUCUGGAAGUCCCACAGUAUCUUUGCGUGCUCAUUUUCCAAUACUUUUGCAGGUUUGUGAUCCCACCAGUUCUUUGCUGCUGGGAGGUGGUACUUGAGGCAUAAGUUCCAAUGAAUCAUUUGGGCCAUAUAGUUGUGCCUCUGUUUGUAGUCUGUCUGUGCAAUUAUUAUUAUUAUUAUUAUUAUUAUUAUUAUUAUUAUUAUUAUUAUUAUUACUACUGCUGCUGCUGCUGCUGCUGCUGCUGUUAUGACUACCAUUCCUCCCCUGCAGUUGGAAAUCAGAACUAAGUAUUGAUGGGAGAUAUUAAGGGAGAAUUUUUAAAAUAAACCAGUCACAGAAGAAGGAAGGAAGGAAGGAGAGAAGAAAGGAGAGAAGAAAGAAAGGGAAAUACUAUGACAGAAGGGAGGGAGGGAGGAAAAAGAGAAGGAAGGAAAGAAAGAAAAAGGGAAGGAAGGAAGGAAAGAAAAAGGGAAGGAAGGAAGGAGAGAAGAAAGGAGAGAAGAAAGAAAGGCAAGAAGGGAGGGAGGAAGGAAGGAAGGAAGGCUUCUCAGUCUGAUGGCAGGUUGCCUGAUGCCAGCGGUGGAGACGGGUUCUGUCCUCCGUCUCUCCUUUUUCUAGCCGGACUUCAACAGAGUGGCCUUGGCCC